GAUUAUCGAAAACAUUAAAAAUCCAAUGAACCAAACUCGCCUCAGCAAGCUCUGGAAUGAUUUAAUAAGAGGUCUCCCAUACCAGGGCUGCUUCUUUAUGUGCAGCAUACGAAGUGAAAUAUUUAAUAGAAAAAUGCCCCUACAAAUUUCAGGCUUCAUGACUGCUGCCUGGAGACCAACAACUCCUGCAUUUAGCAAGCAUUUAAGAUUGUUUGCAUCGUACAAUCAACGGUUUUCAGAUGACAAGAUAAUUACCUAGGAAGCAUGGGCCUAUGCUCCUGAUCUUCUAGUUAAUUGGCUAACUCAGUAUAUAUACCAGGUAAAUAAUCAAACUUAUAUUCACCAGAUGAGGUAAAAGCACUAAAACUUAGGCCAAGUUUGGUACCCAUUUUUGUAAGAACGAGAAUGAAAAAUAUAGUUGUUACGGGACCCACACAAAAGAUAGAAAGUCAAAUGUGGUGGCUUGAUGUGAUGGAUAAUGUCUUCUUUUUUUAUUUUUGUGGCUAAAGAAUGGAAAUCAAAUGGGGACUAAUUGAAAGAACUGAGCUCAGUUGUGGAAAAAAUUGGGUCUCAAGAUUCAAUGUUGUAGGGCCAAAAACAAAGAGAAUUUCAGAUAUGCUGCAUAAUGCAGAAUGAAUUAAUGUGUCCCUGGCCAAGUAGCAUUACCCUUGCAGAAUUAUAAGAAAUCUAGGAUUAGAGCUACAGUUCCAGAUCAACAGUCCCCAAUAAAUGAUAAUCAAACAUGGAGAAAUAGAUAUAAGAGCUUCAGAACAACCAGUAAGGUAAAUUAAAUGUUUAAUAACGUUGGACUGUGUUUAAAAAAACUAAAAGCAGAAUAACAAAUGUUGAAGCCUUAAUAACAAAAGCAGAUAUUGUACAAGCAUAAUCUUCAAAAAUCAGUAGGUGAAUGUCAUUUUAAAAUUAAAAAAUUUUGUAGGAAAUAAUGAUUUCUUCUAAAGAUAAUUUACUCAUAAGAAUGGAAGUGUGUGGCUGUGCAUAUAAAUGUCCAUAUUCCAGCCCAAUAAGCACAAAGAACACCAGUACAAGCAGCAUAAAUUAGACCAAAAUUCAUGAAAAUUAAAACCAUUUUUCGAUCAUGCUAUUAAUUAUUAGAGGCUUCCUAUGGAAAUUGUUUUUUAUCCCCUAGAACAUAAUUACAGCGACUCAAUGCCAGAAACUUCUUUACAGGUUUAAAAAACUCUUACUUCAGAUGUCUUCUGUAAAUAUCAUUAAAUUAUUUAUUAUGCUGAUCAAAUGGAAAUAUUUGUCACUUCAAAUCAAUAUUUAAGUUUGUAUCAAUAUCCAGUAAAAAAUUAUCAGCUACUUCUCCACAUUCUGCAUACAAAAAAUGGCAAUGUAGAUCCUCCUUUACAGAUGUUUACCUGACAAAGAAUGUUCCUCACUGAGUCUGGUGUGGCUACAGCUUUAUAGAAGAAUUUUCCCACACCAGUAUUCCUGAUGAAAUGUACAAAUACAAUGAAAUCCUCGAACAGUGACUAAAAAAUUUAAGACAGGAUAGAAUAUCGAAAACAUAAAAAAUCCAAUGAACCAAACUCGCCUCAGCAAACUCUGGAAUGAUUUAAUAAGAGGUCUCCCAUACCAGGGCUGCUUCUUUAUGUGCAGCAUACGAAGUGAAAUAUUUAAUAGAAAAAUGCCCCUACAAAUUUCAGGCUUCAUGACUGCUGCCUGGAGACCAACAACUCCUGCAUUUAGCAAGCAUUUAAGAUUGUUUGCAUCGUACAAUCAAUGGUUUUCAGAUGACAAGAUAAUUACCUAGGAAGCAUGGGCCUAUGCUCCUGAUCUUCUAGUUAAUUGGCUAACUCAGUAUAUAUACCAGGUAAAUAAUCAAACUUAUAUUCACCAGAUGAGGUAAAAGCACUAAAACUUAGGCCCAAUUUGGUACCCAUUUUUGUAAGAAUGAGAAUGAAAAAUAUAGCGUUACGGACCCAUACAAGAGUAGAAAGUCAAAUGUGGUGGCUUGAUGUGAUGGAUAAUGUCUUCUUUUUUUAUUUUUGUGGCUAAAGAAUGGAAAUCAAAUGGGGACUAAUUGAAAGAACUGAGCUCAGUUGUGGAAAAAAUUGGGUCUCAAGAUUCAAUGUUGUAGGGCCAAAAACAAAGAGAAUUUCAGAUAUGCUGCAUAAUGCAGAAUGAAUUAAUGUGUCCCUGGCCAAGUAGCAUUACCCAUGCAGAAUUAUAAGAAAUCUAGGCUUAGAGCUACAGUUCCCGAUCAACAGUCCCCAAUAUAUGAUAAUCAAACAUGGAGAAAUAGAUAUAAGAGCUUCAGAACAACCAAUAAGGUAAAUUAAAUGUUUAAUAACGUUGGACUGUGUUUAAAAAAACUAAAAGCAGAAUAACAAAUGUUGAAGCCUUAAUAACAAAAGCAGAUAUUGUACAAGCAUAAUCUUCAAAAAUCAGUAGGUGAAUGUCAUUUUAAAAUUAAAAAAUUUUGUAGGAAAUAAUGAUUUCUUCUAAAGAUAAUUUACUCAUAAGAAUGGAAGUGUGUGGCUGUGCAUAUAAAUGUCCAUAUUCCAGCCCAAUAAGCACAAAGAACACCAGUACAAAUAAAAGAUGAAAAUAGAAAAGAAAAAUCAACUUAAUCUUGUUUUCUUUCCGACAAUUCUAAAAUUAUAUGCUGAAUGGCAAUUAUCCACACAUUAGAAGUACACAACCAUUAUUUGCAUAUUUCAUGGAAUGGAAAUGCUAUAACAAAGAUCACCGCC
rnacentral:lncRNA from 1 species